rnacentral:rRNA from 1 species
GGAAAGGCGUGCGAUACAGGGUGACAGCCCCGUACACAAAAAUGCACAUAUUGUGAGCUCGAUGAGUAGGGCGGGACACGUGGUAUCCUGUCUGAAUAUGGGGGGACCAUCCUCCAAGGCUAAAUACUCCUGACUGACCGAUAGUGAACCAGUACCGUGAGGGAAAGGCGAAAAGAACCCCGGCGAGGGGAGUGAAAAAGAACCUGAAACCGUGUACGUACAAGCAGUGGGAGCCUCUUAAUGGGGUGACUGCGUACCUUUUGUAUAAUGGGUCAGCGACUUAUAUUCUGUAGCAAGGUUAACCGAAUAGGGGAGCCGAAGGGAAACCGAGUCUUAACUGGGCGUUAAGUUGCAGGGUAUAGACCCGAAACCCGGUGAUCUAGCCAUGGGCAGGUUGAAGGUUGGGUAACACUAACUGGAGGACCGAACCGACUAAUGUUGAAAAAUUAGCGGAUGACUUGUGGCUGGGGGUGAAAGGCCAAUCAAACCGGGAGAUAGCUGGUUCUCCCCGAAAGCUAUUUAGGUAGCGCCUCGUGAAUUCAUCUCCGGGGGUAGAGCACUGUUUCGGCAAGGGGGUCAUCCCGACUUACCAACCCGAUGCAAACUGCGAAUACCGGAGAAUGUUAUCACGGGAGACACACGGCGGGUGCUAACGUCCGUCGUGAAGAGGGAAACAACCCAGACCGCCAGCUAAGGUCCCAAAGUCAUGGUUAAGUGGGAAACGAUGUGGGAAGGCCCAGACAGCCAGGAUGUUGGCUUAGAAGCAGCCAUCAUUUAAAGAAAGCGUAAUAGCUCACUGGUCGAGUCGGCCUGCGCGGAAGAUGUAACGGGGCUAAACCAUGCACCGAAGCUGCGGCAGCGACACUAUGUGUUGUUGGGUAGGGGAGCGUUCUGUAAGCCUGUGAAGGUGGCCUGUGAGGGUUGCUGGAGGUAUCAGAAGUGCGAAUGCUGACAUAAGUAACGAUAAAGCGGGUGAAAAGCCCGCUCGCCGGAAGACCAAGGGUUCCUGUCCAACGUUAAUCGGGGCAGGGUGAGUCGACCCCUAAGGCGAGGCCGAAAGGCGUAGUCGAUGGGAAACAGGUUAAUAUUCCUGUACUUGGUGUUACUGCGAAGGGGGGACGGAGAAGGCUAUGUUGGCCGGGCGACGGUUGUCCCGGUUUAAGCGUGUAGGCUGGUUUUCCAGGCAAAUCCGGAAAACCAAGGCUGAGGCGUGAUGACGAGGCACUACGGUGCUGAAGCGACAAAUGCCCUGCUUCCAGGAAAAGCCUCUAAGCAUCAGGUAACAUCAAAUCGUACCCCAAACCGACACAGGUGGUCAGGUAGAGAAUACCAAGGCGCUUGAGAGAACUCGGGUGAAGGAACUAGGCAAAAUGGUGCCGUAACUUCGGGAGAAGGCACGCUGAUAUGUAGGUGAAGCGACUUGCUCGUGGAGCUGAAAUCAGUCGAAGAUACCAGCUGGCUGCAACUGUUUAUUAAAAACACAGCACUGUGCAAACACGAAAGUGGACGUAUACGGUGUGACGCCUGCCCGGUGCCGGAAGGUUAAUUGAUGGGGUUAGCGGUAACGCGAAGCUCUUGAUCGAAGCCCCGGUAAACGGCGGCCGUAACUAUAACGGUCCUAAGGUAGCGAAAUUCCUUGUCGGGUAAGUUCCGACCUGCACGAAUGGCGUAAUGAUGGCCAGGCUGUCUCCACCCGAGACUCAGUGAAAUUGAACUCGCUGUGAAGAUGCAGUGUACCCGCGGCAAGACGGAAAGACCCCGUGAACCUUUACUAUAGCUUGACACUGAACAUUGAGCCUUGAUGUGUAGGAUAGGUGGGAGGCUUUGAAGUGUGGACGCCAGUCUGCAUGGAGCCGACCUUGAAAUACCACCCUUUAAUGUUUGAUGUUCUAACGUUGGCCCGUAAUCCGGGUUGCGGACAGUGUCUGGUGGGUAGUUUGACUGGGGCGGUCUCCUCCUAAAGAGUAACGGAGGAGCACGAAGGUUGGCUAAUCCUGGUCGGACAUCAGGAGGUUAGUGCAAUGGCAUAAGCCAGCUUGACUGCGAGCGUGACGGCGCGAGCAGGUGCGAAAGCAGGUCAUAGUGAUCCGGUGGUUCUGAAUGGAAGGGCCAUCGCUCAACGGAUAAAAGGUACUCCGGGGAUAACAGGCUGAUACCGCCCAAGAGUUCAUAUCGACGGCGGUGUUUGGCACCUCGAUGUCGGCUCAUCACAUCCUGGGGCUGAAGUAGGUCCCAAGGGUAUGGCUGUUCGCCAUUUAAAGUGGUACGCGAGCUGGGUUUAGAACGUCGUGAGACAGUUCGGUCCCUAUCUGCCGUGGGCGCUGGAGAACUGAGGGGGGCUGCUCCUAGUACGAGAGGACCGGAGUGGACGCAUCACUGGUGUUCGGGUUGUCAUGCCAAUGGCACUGCCCGGUAGCUAAAUGCGGAAGAGAUAAGUGCUGAAAGCAUCUAAGCACGAAACUUGCCCCGAGAUGAGUUCUCCCUGAGACUUAGAGUCUCCUGAAGGAACGUUGAAGACGACGACGUUGAUAGGCCGGGUGUGUAAGCGCAGCGAUGCGUUGAGCUAACCGGUACUAAUGAACCGUGAGGCUUAACCUU